rnacentral:rRNA from 1 species
CCUACGGGAGGCAGCAGUGGGGAAUAUUGGACAAUGGGCGAAAGCCUGAUCCAGCCAUGCCGCGUGUGUGAAGAAGGCCUUCGGGUUGUAAAGCACUUUCAGUGGGGAAGAAAGCCUUGGGGCUAAUACCCUCGAGGAAGGACAUCACCCACAGAAGAAGCACCGGCUAACUCCGUGCCAGCAGCCGCGGUAAUACGGAGGGUGCGAGCGUUAAUCGGAAUUACUGGGCGUAAAGCGCGCGUAGGCGGUCUGAUAAGCCGGUUGUGAAAGCCCGGGCUCAACCUGGGAACGGCAUCCGGAACUGUCAGGCUAGAGUGCAGGAGAGGAAGGUAGAAUUCCCGGUGUAGCGGUGAAAUGCGUAGAGAUCGGGAGGAAUACCAGUGGCGAAGGCGGCCUUCUGGACUGACACUGACGCUGAGGUGCGAAAGCGUGGGUAGCAAACAGGAUUAGAUACCCCAGUAGUC